UGGGGAAUUUUGCACAAUGGGGGAAACCCUGAUGCAGCGACGCCGCGUGAUUUAGAAGGCCUUCGGGUUGUAAAAAUCUUUUUUACGGGAUGAAAAUGACAGUACCGUAAGAAUAAGGUCCGGCUAAAUACGUGCCAGCAGCCGCGGUAAUACGUAUGGACCGAGCGUUAUCCGGAAUCAUUGGGCGUAAAGGGUACGUAGGCGGCCUAGUAAGUUAGAAGUGAAAUAAUAUAGCUCAACUAUAUAAAGCUUUUAAAACUGCUAGGCUUGAGAGAUGGAAGGGAAAGUGGAAUUCCUAGUGUAGCGGUGAAAUGCGCAGAUAUUAGGAAGAAUACCGGUGGCGAAGGCGACUUUCUGGUCAUCAUCUGACGCUGAGGUACGAAAGCGUGGGUAGCAAACAGG
rnacentral:rRNA from 1 species